GCUGACAGAAUGCUUAACACAUGCAAGUCGACUCGAGUCUUCGGACUUGGGUGGCGCACGGGUGAGUAACGCGUAAAGAACUUGCCUCUUAGACCGGGACAACAUCUGGAAACGGAUGCUAAUACCGGAUAUUAUGGUUUUUUCGCAUGGAGGAAUCAUGAAAGCUAGAUGCGCUAAGAGAGAGCUUUGCGUCCCAUUAGCUGGUUGGUGAGGUAACGGCCCACCAAGGCAAUGAUGGGUAGCCGGCCUGAGAGGGUGAACGGCCACAAGGGGACUGAGACACGGCCCUUACUCCUACGGGAGGCAGCAGUGGGGAAUAUUGGACAAUGGACCACAAGUCUGAUCCAGCAAUUCUGUGUGCACGAUGACGUUUUUCGGAAUGUAAAGUGCUUUCAGUCGGGAAGAAGUCAGUGACGGUACCGACAGAAGAAGCGACGGCUAAAUACGUGCCAGCAGCCGCGGUAAUACGUAUGUCGCAAGCGUUAUCCGGAUUUAUUGGGCGUAAAGCGCGUCUAGGCGGCAAGGAAAGUCUGAUGUGAAAAUGCGGAGCUCAACUCCGUAUGGCGUUGGAAACUGCCUUACUAGAGUACUGGAGAGGUAGGCGGAACUACAAGUGUAGAGGUGAAAUUCGUAGAUAUUUGUAGGAAUGCCGAUGGGG
rnacentral:rRNA from 1 species